UUAAAUUGCCAUACAACCACUGACAUAAUCAACACUAUUAAUAUAGCUAUAUCUUACUAAAAUUACGCCCAUAUAAAUAAGGAGAUCUAUAUGAGUUUGUUGUAUUUUUUUUGGUGGCUUGCGCUCAUCAACUAAACUCGUACAGCGCUGUUGCUGACAGGGAUGCAAAGGAGAUUGGAUAUAGAUCAGCCUGGCAGGGGUGAAAGAAGUACUUCUACACAUUAAGUAAUGUUUCUUUAUAUUCAGUCUUUAGCAUAAAAUGGCCUUACUCACUUUGGUGGUAAGGCUAUUUUUUUGCACUU
rnacentral:misc_RNA from 1 species